rnacentral:rRNA from 1 species
AACGUAGGGGGCGAGCGUUAUCCGGAUUUACUGGGCGUAAAGCGCAUGUAGGCGGUAUGGCAAGUUGGCCGUGAAAGCUCCCGGCUUAACUGGGAGAGGUCGGUUGAAACUGCCAGACUGGAGGUUGGAAGAGGAGAGUGGAAUUCCCGGUGUAGUGGUGGAAUGCGUAGAUAUCGGGAGGAACACCAGUGGCGAAAGCGGCUCUCUGGACCAAACCUGACGCUGAGAUGCGAAAGCGUGGGGAGCAAAC